rnacentral:rRNA from 1 species
UACCCAAUCCUGACACAGGGAGGUAGUGACAAGAAAUAACAAUACGGGGCUCAACGCCUUGUAAUUGGAAUGAUGGGAACCUAAACCCCUUCCAGAGUAUCAAUUGGAGGGCAAGUCUGGUGCCAGCAGCCGCGGUAAUUCCAGCUCCAAUAGCGUAUAUUAAAAUUGUUGCAGUUAAAAAGCUCGUAGUUGAAUUUCUGCCGCAUCGCGGCGGCCCUCCCGGGCCCAGCGUUGCGGCUUAUUUCGGACUCGCUUGCGUCUCCGAAUGUUUACUUUGAGAAAAUUAGAGUGCUCAAAGCAGGCCCUUGCCUUGAAUACUUUAGCAUGGAAUAAUAAAGUAGGACUUUGGUUCUAUUUUGUUGGUUUAGCGCCAAAGUAAUGGUUAAUAGGAACAGUUGGGGGCAUUCGUAUUUAA